AAUCAACAAGCCACAUGAUGAAUCGUCAGAUUCCAAACGGUCCAGCAUUUUGAUGACUUUUUGUGAAUCUCCUUCCAAAACAAUCUUAUUGAAACCCAAAGAUUUUAGUAAUUGAGUAGCAUGUUUGGCCGCAUAUGAUUCAACCACUUCUGGUUCCAAUAUCCCAGGAAUUUUCUUGGAGAGGCAAGCAAUAAAACUUCCUUUAUCAUCUCGGAUAAUAACACCAACCCCUGAUGAUUUAUCAU
rnacentral:lncRNA from 1 species